CCUUCUCCUCCAUUACCCUCCUCUCUCCUCCCCUUAUGAACUCUCGUGUGCCCCAAAUCCAAACAAAACGUUACGAGUCUCAAUCGGAUAGGAGGCGGCGGUGAUGGCGGGGGAAGUCCGUGGGCGACGGAAGGGAAGGGGCGUGUACGAGUCUCAAUCGGCUGGAGGCUUCCGUAUUUCUUCAUUUUCCUCUAUUUUCCCGUCCUCACGGAUCCCAAUCUGCUGGGAGGCUUCCAGCGGCCGGAGGAGGAGAUGAUGAGGUUGUGAGGCCGCGACGGUUUCCAAUGGCCGGAGAAGGAGAGGAUGAGAGGAUUUAAAGCCGCGACGGCGUCCCUUCCGGCGAUGACCACGUGUAAGAGGAUGAGAGGAUUUGAGGCCGCGAUGGCUUCCAACAGCCGGAGAACGGCAUCGGCCUUCGCCCUCCACUCUCCCUCACGACGCCGACCUCUUCCCCGCUUUCCUCGCUGCUACCUCCCGUCGGUCUCCGCCGUCGCCUUCCUCGAUCCUAGUGGCGUCGGGCUUUCCCCUCCAAUCUCCGUCAGGUGCUUUCCCGAACCCUCGCGGACGCCAACCUCCUCCCCGCUCUCCUCGCCGCCACCUCCUGCCGGUCUCCGUCGUCACUGGUUUUGAUUCCACCGCCGGAGCUCCGACCCACUCCCGUUCAAGAACCUCACCGCCGGAAGCCAUCGCCACUCGCCGCUAUCUCCUCCCCCGCUCUAUCCCCGUCUUCGUCAGUCCCAAAGCCGAAAUCACCACCACCGCUGCCUUCCCAUUCCCUCUCCCCUCCGCUCGCGCAUCCUCUACCGUCCCCGACUUCCCUUUGGUUAGGUUUAGCUUUUGUGCAUACUAAUCUUCGGAUCUACUUUUUCAAAAUGUUAGUCGGUUCAAGUUUCAAGAAUUCUGAGUUGGAUGUUUAUGCCUUUAGUUAUUGUUGGUAAGAAUUUUGGGUGUUUCCAUGCUUACUUUUCUUGAAAGAAAGCGAUUUGAUUUUUUUUGUUUGUUAUCACCUAGAAUUUGGGUUUCCAUCAUCAUAUAUUUCUGCUGGAAAUUGAGGUUGUUUCAUGCUUUGAGCAGAGGGUUUAUUUGGUGGUUGAGGGCUAUUUUCUUUGGAAAGCUGUAUGUUAAGAAAUUUGCUAUAAAUUUGAAAUGUGAUUAUGGGAAGAAAAUGGUAGAUCCCGUCGUUAUUCACAUAAUUAUGGAUCUUCGAGAUACUCUCCUUAUCCAGGGAAUAAUCGAUCUGCAGCCUAGAUCAGUAGAUAGGGUACAGAGAAGGUAUACAAAAAUAGGUGAUGAUUACCACUCGCUUGAGCAGAGUCUCGAUCGAGUGGGCGGCUCCGGAUGGAUUUUUUUUCCCUGCAAGCUCUUUUGAGAGAUCCAUGAGGAAGGAGAAUACCUGAGGGAGAUCAAAGCGCUUUCGAGUAUCUCAGGGAGAUCAGAUGGCUUUCUUAUGUUAUGAUUGGGGUUUUUUCUCGGGAUUUUGUGCAAUUUGUGGCGUUUUAAGCGAUUAAUCUUGGUAGAAGCAUGAUGUUUUAUGGGGUAUGGGAAGUUUUGUGAGAUAGGAGGUAGUGUUUUGAAAGCUAGGCACCUGGUGAAGACCGUAAUGAUAUCCAAAAGUUGACUGAAGGCAUCAUAUAAGGGUCAUGCCUUGGUGUUUGGAGGAACUCAUAAAACGGAUGAACACAUCAGAAGGUGACCGGGUUACAUGCGUUAUCGCUGAUGGGAACAUGGGAUGGGCUCUUGAAGUGGUGCAAAACAUGGGCAUCCGGUUGGCUGCCUUUCGGCCUUCGUCUACUGCAGUGCUUGCAUUAUUUCUGAACAUUCCCAAGAUGAUCCAGGAUGGUAUCAUUGAUGCUAACGGAAUGCCAGAAAGGAGUGAGACAUUCCAGCUGAGCACUGGCGUGCCAUUUGUGAACACAAGCCAACUUUCAUGGAAUUGUGCCAGUGAUCUCAAAACAGAAAAAGUCAUCUUCAAGUUCAUAGUCAGUAAUAAUCAACCAAUGAGUUAAAAGCCAGGGAAAGUUGGUAGGAUGGUCUUCUCAACAGCAGGUACUGGCUCACCCUUCCAUUGCUUGCUUCUUUUCUCAUUGUGGUUGGAAUUCAACAUUGGAAGGGGUGAAGAAUGGAGUCCCUUUCCUCUGCUGGCCUUAGCUCACCGAUCCAUAAUAAGGCACAUGGAUCUUUGGUGUUUGCUUCAUCCAACUAAAAAUUAAGGUCUGAUGAAUCUGCUAUGUUGCAUUUGGAGACAGCCAAUGAAAUGGCCAAUGUAUUUAUUGAUAUUUAAGUAUCACCCUUCCUUUUUCAUUGUGGUAGAUUCUUUCAGGGAUAGGGUCUUUGAGGGAAAUACUCUGAUCUGGUAAUUUUUAGUUUGGUGUUCUUGAGAAAUAAUUAAUGUAACUGAUAGCUAGGAAUAACUUGGCAAACUUGGGCUUACAGCCAUUACUCAUAUGCUUAUUUCUUGGAAUAGCAUGCACUACAGGUUCUGAAUACUUGA